rnacentral:rRNA from 1 species
AGCAGCCGCCGCGGGAAUACGGAGGGGGCUAGCGUUGUUCGGAAUUACUGGGCGUAAAGCGCACGUAGGCGGUUAUUCAAGUCAGAGGUGAAAGCCCGGGGCUCAACCCCGGAACUGCCUUUGAAACUAGAUGACUGGAAUCUUGGAGAGGUCAGUGGAAUUCCGAGUGUAGAGGUGAAAUUCGUAGAUAUUCGGAAGAACACCAGUGGCGAAGGCGACUGACUGGACAAGUAUUGACGCUGAGGUGCGAAAGCGUGGGGAGCGAACAGGAUUAGAUACCCCUGUAGUCCCUGUCUCUUAUAC